rnacentral:rRNA from 1 species
AAAUUGAAGAGUUUGAUCAUGGCUCAGAUUGAACGCUGGCUGCCGGCCUAACCCAAGCAACUCGCGCUGUAGCACAGAGAGCUUGUUCUCGGGUGACGAUCGGCGUUCGGGUGAGUAAGUUCUGGGUAACUUCCUGAUGCAGGGGGA